AAUAAAUACAAUAAAAUUAUAAUAUGCUUAAAAAUAUUUUUUAAAAAAUAUAUAGAAAGAAUGCGAGGUAAAUACAAUAAACAGAUGAUAUGCUUAAAAAUAGGAAAACAACCGAUUAUAGAUAGGAUUUAAACAAACCCACUAGGGGUUGGUCUAGUCGUGUUGGCUUGGGUCCUUGGAGUAUUCUCUUCUCAAGGUCUCGGAUUCGAUUCCUCCUGGUGCCAAUUUUAGUGGGCUAAGUCCAUGUAUAGAGGAAAAAAACUCUAGCUUUAAAUGGGUCCCGCAAGUGGAUGGUGGGAUUGGUCUCUUUGAAUUAAUCGGUCAUAGGGGGGAUACCAAGUUUUCAAAACAAAUACAAACAAAUGAAUACGAUUAACUCAGCAAUCUAUUCUAUUUAAGCAACUUAUUGAGGAACAUAUUCUUUACUUAUAAAUAACCUACAAAUAACUCUUGAUUCUUAGAGUGUUCCAAAUAUGUCACGAGCUAUUGAUUUUAUAAAAAAAUCAAUGUUGUUUUCAAAGAAGUUUGUGACAAUCUCAAGGGUAAGGAGGAAAAAGGACUUAAAAUUUUAAUCCAUAAAAAAGAAGACAGAGCAUUGAAGACUACCAUCAAUAUUGUUUUCAAAGAAGUUUUUGAAAAUUUAUAGAUGUAUG
rnacentral:lncRNA from 1 species